rnacentral:misc_RNA from 1 species
UAACAAGGUCUCCGUUGGUGAACCAGCGGAGGGAUCAUUACGAGAGUGUCACCACUCCCAACCCAUUGUUUACCUACCCGUCCACCGUGCUUCGGCAGGCAGCCCUGUGGGACAGGGCCUCGCCCCCCUCGCGGGGGGUGCCUGCCGCUGGCCAACCAUACAUUCUAGUCAUUUUAGUACCAUCUGAGUCUUCCACAAAUGAACAAAACUUUCAACAACGGAUCUCUUGGUUCUGGCAUCGAUGAAGAACGCAGCGAAAUGCGAUAAGUAAUGUGAAUUGCAGAAUUCAGUGAAUCAUCGAAUCUUUGAACGCACAUUGCGCCCACUAGUAUUCUGGUGGGCAUGCCUGUUCGAGCGUCAUUUCAACCCUCAAGCCUGGCUUGGUGUUGGGGCUCUGCGCACCGCAGUCCCUUAAAUUCAGUGGCGGACACGCUAGGUCUCCGAGCGCAGUAGUUUCUUCUCGCUUCGGGCGUCCGGCGUGGGCUUGCCUCGCACCCAACUUCUCAAGGUUGACCUCGGAUCAGGUAGGAAUACCCCGCUGAACUUAAGCAUAUCAAUAAGCGGAGGAAAAGAAACCAACAGGGAUUGCCCCAGUAACGGCGAGUGAAGCGGCAACAGCUCAAAUUUGAAAUCUGGCGCAAGCCCGAGUUGUAAUUUGCAGAGGAUGCUUCUGGCGCGGUGCCUCCUGAGUUCCCUGGAACGGGACGCCGGAGAGGGUGAGAGCCCCGUACAGUUGGACACCAAGCCUUUGUGAAGCUCCUUCGACGAGUCGAGUAGUUUGGGAAUGCUGCUCAAAAUGGGAGGUACAUGCCUUCUAAAGCUAAAUACCGGCCAGAGACCGAUAGCGCACAAGUAGAGUGAUCGAAAGAUGAAAAGCACUUUGAAAAGAGGGUUAAACAGUACGUGAAAUUGUUGAAAGGGAAGCGCUCGUGACCAGACUUGCGCCCGGCGGAUCAUCCGGCCUUCUGGCCGGUGCACUCCGCCGGGCUCAGGCCAGCAUCGGUUCUUCCGGGGGGAUAAAAGCGGCGGGAACGUAGCUCCUCCGGGAGUGUUAUAGCCCGCCGCAGAAUACCCCCGGGGGGACCGAGGACCGCGCUUCGGCAAGGAUGCUGGCGUAAUGGUCACCAGCGACCCGUCUUGAAACACGGACCAAGGAGUCAAGCAUUAGGGCGAGUGUUUGGGUGUGAAACCCGCACGCGAAAUGAAAGUGAACGCAGGUGAGAGCUUCGGCGCAUCAUCGACCGAUCCCGAUGUUUUCGGAGGGAUUUGAGUAAGAGCCUUACCGCUUGGACCCGAAAGAUGGUGAACUAUGCUUGGAUAGGGUGAAGCCAGAGGAAACUCUGGUGGAGGCUCGCAGCGGUUCUGACGUGCAAAUCGAUCGUCAAAUCUGAGCAUGGGGCGAAAGACUAAUC